AAAGAUUAGACCCAAUAGCAUUCAACUCUUUGUCAUCAACAUGCUUCACGUGUAAAUUCAAAGGACCUAUGGAAUAAACUGGAGGCAAAAUGGACGAGAACGCUUCCAAAACAUCGUGCUCUAAGGCAUCAAACGUGUUCAAAAUUAUUGCAGAAGCUCUUCGAGCCCUCCCACACUCCCACUGUAUGAAAUCAAGCAUGAACUCAUCUGGAUUUGUGGUCCUAACGAAACUGGGAAUAUCCUUCAAUCGAAUUUCCUUAAUG
rnacentral:misc_RNA from 1 species